UCCUUGUGUCGCUAUAAAUGGCAGAACAAGGUAACUGAAUAUGUCAAUCUCCUGGUUCUAGCUCUUUGCCAAGUCUGCUCUGAGGUUUAGCCAAACAGCCUCACCAGCUUGUAGAAUACGCGCCUUUGCUAAGCAAAGUCCUACCGUCCCUUUCUGUCUUAUCCUCUUUUAAACCAAUACACAAAUCACAGCUGGCUCACGGACGUGAUAAGCAUUUC
rnacentral:lncRNA from 1 species